GCCCUCCUUUGUCAACGCCAGUCUUCUUGUUCAUUACCGACGUGCCAUUGAGAGGUCUUGGCUAAAUGUCCGAGCUCAUUUCCCUUCCUUAGAAAUGAUAGUCGCUGUCAUCACCAUCAUCACCUUCUGGCGCAGGACAUCUGGCCUGGGUUCUCCAAAGGAUCUAGGACCAUGAGGAACAAAGUAGGGGAGACAUCGCAGCCCGAUGCCAUACGCCAUGUUUGACCGGAUCCUGGACUGGGAAAAAAUAGAAGCCACAAAGAACGUUUGGGAGGCCACCAGGGAAACGUGAUGUUAGGUGUUAGGUGUUCGUGUUGUUCGUGUUAGGUGAUGUUGCCCA
rnacentral:lncRNA from 1 species